rnacentral:rRNA from 2 species
CAAACUGCGAAUACCGGAGAAUGUUAUCACGGGAGACACACGGCGGGUGCUAACGUCCGUCGUGAAGAGGGAAACAACCCAGACCGCCAGCUAAGGUCCCAAAGUCAUGGUUAAGUGGGAAACGAUGUGGGAAGGCCCAGACAGCCAGGAUGUUGGCUUAGAAGCAGCCAUCAUUUAAAGAAAGCGUAAUAGCUCACUGGUCGAGUCGGCCUGCGCGGAAGAUGUAACGGGGCUAAACCAUGCACCGAAGCUGCGGCAGCGAACGUAUCACUUAAAGCGAUUCAGCGGGUUACGAUUGACGGAGCGAAGCGACGUCAAAGCGUAUACAAAGUCGAGUCGGUUUAAGGAUACGUUCGUUGGGUAGGGGAGCGUUCUGUAAGCCUGUGAAGGUGUGUCGUGAGGCAUGCUGGAGGUAUCAGAAGUGCGAAUGCUGACAUAAGUAACGAUAAAGCGGGUGAAAAGCCCGCUCGCCGGAAGACCAAGGGUUCCUGUCCAACGUUAAUCGGGGCAGGGUGAGUCGACCCCUAAGGCGAGGCCGAAAGGCGUAGUCGAUGGGAAACGGGUUAAUAUUCCCGUACUUGGUGUUACUGCGAAGGGGGGACGGAGAAGGCUAUGUUGGCCGGGCGACGGUUGUCCCGGUUUAAGCGUGUAGGUGUGUGUUCCAGGUAAAUCCGGUUCACUUUAACACUGAGGCGUGAUGACGAGGCACUACGGUGCUGAAGCAACAAAUGCCCUGCUUCCAGGAAAAGCCUCUAAGCAUCAGGUAACAUCAAAUCGUACCCCAAACCGACACAGGUGGUCAGGUAGAGAAUACCAAGGCGCUUGAGAGAACUCGGGUGAAGGAACUAGGCAAAAUGGUGCCGUAACUUCGGGAGAAGGCACGCUGACACGUAGGUGAAGUGAUUUACUCAUGGAGCUGAAGUCAGUCGAAGAUACCAGCUGGCUGCAACUGUUUAUUAAAAACACAGCACUGUGCAAACACGAAAGUGGACGUAUACGGUGUGACGCCUGCCCGGUGCCGGAAGGUUAAUUGAUGGGGUCAGCGCAAGCGAAGCUCCUGAUCGAAGCCCCGGUAAACGGCGGCCGUAACUAUAACGGUCCUAAGGUAGCGAAAUUCCUUGUCGGGUAAGUUCCGACCUGCACGAAUGGCGUAAUGAUGGCCAGGCUGUCUCCACCCGAGACUCAGUGAAAUUGAACUCGCUGUGAAGAUGCAGUGUACCCGCGGCAAGACGGAAAGACCCCGUGAACCUUUACUAUAGCUUGACACUGAACAUUGAGCCUUGAUGUGUAGGAUAGGUGGGAGGCUUUGAAGCGUGGACGCCAGUCUGCGUGGAGCCGACCUUGAAAUACCACCCUUUAAUGUUUGAUGUUCUAACGUGGACCCGUAAUCCGGGUUGCGGACAGUGUCUGGUGGGUAGUUUGACUGGGGCGGUCUCCUCCUAAAGAGUAACGGAGGAGCACGAAGGUUGGCUAAUCCUGGUCGGACAUCAGGAGGUUAGUGCAAUGGCAUAAGCCAGCUUGACUGCGAGCGUGACGGCGCGAGCAGGUGCGAAAGCAGGUCAUAGUGAUCCGGUGGUUCUGAAUGGAAGGGCCAUCGCUCAACGGAUAAAAGGUACUCCGGGGAUAACAGGCUGAUACCGCCCAAGAGUUCAUAUCGACGGCGGUGUUUGGCACCUCGAUGUCGGCUCAUCACAUCCUGGGGCUGAAGUAGGUCCCAAGGGUAUGGCUGUUCGCCAUUUAAAGUGGUACGCGAGCUGGGUUUAGAACGUCGUGAGACAGUUCGGUCCCUAUCUGCCGUGGGCGCUGGAGAACUGAGGGGGGCUGCUCCUAGUACGAGAGGACCGGAGUGGACGCAUCACUGGUGUUCGGGUUGUCAUGCCAAUGGCACUGCCCGGUAGCUAAAUGCGGAAGAGAUAAGUGCUGAAAGCAU